GAUGAACGCUGGCGGCGUGCCUAAUACAUGCAAGUCGAACGAACAGAUGGGCUUCUUGCUCCUCUCACGUUACCGGCGGACGGGUGAUGAACACGAACAUAACCUGCCUAUAGGACUAGGAUGACUUCGGGAAGCCUGAUCUAGUACCGGAUAAUAUAUUGAACCCGAUGGUUCAAUAGUGAACGACGUAUUUGCUCUCACUUUAGAUGGAUCCGCGCCGCAUUAGCUAGUUGGUUAGGUAAAGGCUUACCAAGGCAACGAUGCGUAGCAGACCUGAGAGGGUGAUCGGCCACACUGGAACUGAGACACGGUCCAGACUCCUACGGGAGGCAGCAGUAGGGAAUUUUCCACAAUGGGCGCAAGCCUGACCGAGCCACGCCGCGUGAGGGAAGAAGGUCUUCGGAUUGUAAAACGCUGUUGUUAGGGAAGAAAACAUGUGGAAUAAAAUACCCACGUGUUGACGGUACCUAAACAGAAAGCACCGGCUAACUACGUG
rnacentral:rRNA from 1 species